UUAGUUUUUAUAUCCAAAGCUAAAAUAUAUACAGAUUUAAGACAUAUUUGUGUGAUAAUAUAAUGAAUCACAAUUUAAGUUUUAAUCAAUUGUGGUAAAAACGUACGUUAGGAAACCUCAAUGGUCAAUAAAGACUCAUAUAUAUAUAACCUAUAUACAUAUACAGGGUGUAUAAAAAAAGGUAAUCGAACUUCAGCGUGCUAUUGUAUCUGAAUUACUUUGCGUAUAAACAAGAUUUUUUAUCUUUGGAAAGAUCAGGCUUUUACGGCUGUUGAAUAACAUGUUCUCAUGCCAAAUGGAUAAAAAAUAAGCAAGUACAAGUCCGAUAAAAAAUGCUAGUCAGAAUCGCAUAUUUUCAUCGUUGAGAGUUAAGUUGAUGAAAAUUUACUUCAAUAAACUACGCACAUAUUUAACAAUUAUUGGAUGAGGUUUUUGUGAUAUGCGGAAUUAUCAAGGUCGAGGUAAGCGUUAUCAGCCGAGCCGAAGGCGAGGCUGAUAACGCUUACCGAGACCUUGAUAUAACUUUGCAUAUCGCAAAAACAGAAUUCAAUAAUUGUUUUAUUAUACAUUUGUUUGUGUUAAAUAGAUACCGCUUGCUAAUCAUCGCAGGCUCAUUUGCAGAUAACUCAGUUAUCUGCUAGCCGAUAACUGAAUUUUCUGUAGGUUGCGUGAUUUAACUGUAAGCUCUUAGCCAAUCAAAUUGCUUUUACCAACUCCAAUGUAUAAUAAUUAACAAUUAUUGGAUGAGGUUUUUGUGAUAUGCGGAAUUAUCAAGGUCGAGGUAAGCGUUAUCAGCCGAGCCGAAGGCGAGGCUGAUAACGCUUACCGAGACCUUGAU